rnacentral:lncRNA from 10 species
UUGACAGUUUGGCUUCCCUGUUCUGGGUGGCAAAGCCUGUGGAGUACUCACCUACCUGCUGCAUGAAGGCAGCAUGGAGGGACUGUGGUGGAUUAUCUGCAAAGAUGGCCAAAAUUCUCUCAUCCCUGCAGGCACAUACAAGGAAAUUGAAGUAUACAGAAUGCUUAUUUGGUCUACUCAGUAUCAUCCUAAAUGUAUGUACCAAUGCUUAGGAGUUUGCAGUUCACCCGCAAACCUCAGCGAUCCAAGCUCCCCUGGAUGACCAUCACUCACCAAGAAAAGAGCAAUAACAGGACCUGUUUUGCUAAUCCAGGACUGUUCUCCAGCACUAACUCUAAAUAAUCCCUUCUGCUAGAGUCCACUUUCUGGAACCUGUUGCCUCCGUUUUCAACGUUUCCCAAACUUGGUCCGUUGUGUGAGCUGGCUGAUAAAAGUUCCAGGGAGAAGACAUCUUACUCUUAUUGGAUCAUGCACAGUGCCUGAAGCAUUCUGUUGCAUGUAGAAGUCAGUAAAUUGCAGAUGUAAGAUUCAAAACCAGACUUCACAUCUACCGACUUCAGUGACCCUGAAAUUUGUUCACAGAGAGCAUUUAACAUAACUGUCUUCAUCAUCUCCUUCUCUACAUUAAAAAUUAUGGAAUAUACAGGGAGGUGUGAUGUACCCAUUAUCACAAGCAGAUGGAAUCCCUAUAGAGUCGGAUCUCAUCUACAUAUCACCUAUUA